rnacentral:piRNA from 1 species
UUCGGGUUCUUGAUAACAGUA